AUUGAACGCUGGCGGCAGGCCUAACACAUGCAAGUCGAGCGGCUCGGCGGACGGGUGAGUAAUACCUAGGACUCUGCCAGGUCCUGGGGGAUAACGUCAGGAAACGGGAGCUAAUACCGCCUCCUCUCAGAUGAGGCUAGGUCGGAUUAGCUAGUUGGUGGGGUAAAGGCCUACCAGGGCGACGAUCCGUAACUGGUCUGAGAGGAUGAUCAGUCACACUGGAACUGAGACACGGUCCAGACUCCUACGGGAGGCAGCAGUGGGGAAUAUUGGACAAUGGGCGAAAGCCUGAUCCAGCCAUGCCGCGUGUGUGAAGAAGGUCUUCGGAUUGUAAAGCACUUUAAGCGGGGAGGCGUUACCAACAGAAGAAGCACCGGCUAACUUCGUGCCAGCAGCCGCGGUAAUUC
rnacentral:rRNA from 1 species